GAUGAACGCUGGCGGCGUGCCUAAUACAUGCAAGUCGAGCGAACAGACGAGGAGCUUGCUCCUCUGACGUUAGCGGCGGACGGGUGAGUAACACGUGGAUAACCUACCUAUAAGACUGGGAUAACUUCGGGAAACCGGAGCUAAUACCGGAUAAUAUAUUGAACCGCAUGGUUCAAUAGUGAAAUACGGUUUUGCUGUCACUUAUCGAUGGAUCCGCGCCGUAUUAGCUAGUUGGUAAGGUAACGGCUUACCAAGGCAACGAUGCGUAGCCGACCGGGGAGGGUGAUCGGCCACACUGGAGCUGGGACACCGUCCAGACUACUACGGGACGCAGCAGUAGGGAAUCUUCCGCAAUGGGCGAAAGCCUGACGGAGCAACGCCAAGUGAGUGAUGAAGGUCUUCGGAUCGUAAAACUCUGUUAUUAGGGAAGAACAAAUGUGUAAGGAACUAUGCACGGCUUGACGGUACCUAAUCAGAAAGCCACGGCUAACUACGUG
rnacentral:rRNA from 1 species